rnacentral:rRNA from 1 species
CCUACGGGAGGCAGCAGUGGGGAAUAUUGCACAAUGGGGGAAACCCUGAUGCAGCGACGCCGCGUGAGGGAUGAAGGAUUUCGGUAUGGAAAGCUCUAUCAGCAGGGAAGAAAAUGACGGUACCUGACUAAGAAGCCCCGGCUAACUACGUGCCAGCAGCCGCGGUAAUACGUAGGGGGCAAGCGUUAUCCGGAUUUACGGGGUGUAAAGGGAGCGUAGACGGCUGUGCAAGCCAGAUGUGAAAGCCCGGGGCUCAACCGCGGGACUGCAUUUGAGACUGUGUGGCUGGAGUGUAGGAGAGGCAGGCGGAAUUCGUGGUGUAGCGGUGAAAUGCGUAGAUAUUAGGAGGAACACCAGUAGCGAAGGCGGCCUGCUGGACGAUGACUGACGUUGAGGCUCGAAAGCGUGGGGAGCAAACAGGAUUAGAUACCCGAGUAGUC